rnacentral:lncRNA from 1 species
GAAGGCUUUAGCUGGACCAUGGUAGACAGAGAGAUGGAGGACUAGCGAUAACGGAUAGGAUAAGAAAAUACUUGUUGUUUUUUCACCUGUCUAAAUAAUGUUGUUUAUCCUGUCUAAAUAAUGUUGUUUUAAUCCUGUCUAAAUAAUGUUUGUUUUUAUCCGUCUAAAGAAUGUUGUUUUAUCCUGUCUAAAUAAUGUUGUUUUAAUCCUGUCUAAAUAAUGUUGUUUUAUCCUGUCUAAAUAAUGUUGUUUUAUCCUGUCUAAAUAAUGUUGUUUUAUCACUGUUAUAACAUAAUGUUUUACCUGUCUAAAUAAUGUUUUCACCUGUCUAAAUAAUGUGUUUUUCCUGUCAUAAAUAAUGUUGUUUUAUCCUGUCUAAAUAAUGUUUUAUCCUGUUUAAAUAAUGUUUUCAUCUGUUUAAAUAAUGUUUUCACCUGUCUAAAUAAUGUUUUCACCUGUCUAAAUAAUGUUGUUUUAUCCUGUCUAAAUAAUAUUGGUUGUUUUCACAGGUCUGAAGAGGCAUGUUUUGAUGUUUCAGAAGUCCAGAUGUUUUUAGCAGGAGAAAAAAAACAGUGGGAGUUAAAGAAGCCUGUCUUAUCUAGAUAAAUAAAACAACUUGGUUUUAUUUCAUCUCAAGAACAUAAUCAAUAGUUAAAUUGGCAUUCUUUUUUUGGGGUCAAAAUACUAAUCUAUUUUAUCUGGCAAUGAAAAGCGUCAUAGACAGAUUUUCUAAGUGUUUAUAACUGAAAGGUUUCCACAUGUAAUUGUAAACAAAUAAAUAACUUUUACCUUCCUGUGUUGUCUGU